GAUCCUGGCUCAGGAUGAACGCUGGCGGCGUGCUUAACACAUGCAAGUCGAACGGAGUUUUUAAACGGAAGUUUUCGGAUGGAAGUUUAAAAACUUAGUGGCGGACGGGUGAGUAACGCGUGGGUAACCUGCCUCAUACAGGGGGAUAACAGUUAGAAAUGACUGCUAACACCGCAUAAUAUAGCGAAACCGCAUGAUUUUGCUAUCAAAUAUUUAUAGGUAUGAGAUGGGCCCGCGUCUGAUUAGCUAGUUGGUGGGGUAAAAGCCUACCAAGGCGACGAUCAGUAGCCGGCUUGAGAGAGUGACCGGCCACAUUGGGACUGAGACACGGCCCAAACUCCUACGGGAGGCAGCAGUGGGGAAUAUUGGACAAUGGGGGAAACCCUGAUCCAGCGACGCCCGCGUGAGUGAAGAAGUAUUUCGGUAUGUAAAGCUCUAUCAGCAGGGAAGAUAAUGACAGUACCUGACUAAGAAGCCCCGGCUAACUACGUGCCAGCAGCUGC
rnacentral:rRNA from 1 species